rnacentral:rRNA from 1 species
CGCUACUAUCAGACCAAUAGAUUAUUCACCUAUUGGCUUUGCUCACGAAUGACAGGGGUUUACAAGCCGAAGCCCGUCAUCCCCCACGCGGCGUCGCUCCAUCAGGGUUGCCCCCAUUGUGAAAGAUUCUCGA